AUCCUACGGGAGGCAGCAGUGGGGAAUAUUGCACAAUGGGCGCAAGCCUGAUGCAGCCAUGCCGCGUGUAUGAAGAAGGCCUUCGGGUUGUAAAGUACUUUCAGCAGUGAGGAAGGUGGUAGUGUUAAUAGCACUAUCAUUUGACGUUAGCUGCAGAAGAAGCACCGGCUAACUCCGUGCCAGCAGCCGCGGUAAUACGGAGGGUGCGAGCGUUAAUCGGAAUUACUGGGCGUAAAGCGCAUGCAGGUGGUUUGUUAAGUCAGAUGUGAAAGCCCGGGGCUCAACCUCGGAAUUGCAUUUGAAACUGGCAGACUAGAGUACUGUAGAGGGGGUAGAAUUUCAGGUGUAGCGGUGAAAUGCGUAGAGAUCUGAAGGAAUACCGGUGGCGAAGGCGGCCCCCUGGACAGAUACUGACACUCAGAUGCGAAAGCGUGGGGAGCAAACAGGAUUAGAUACCCUGGUAG
rnacentral:rRNA from 1 species